rnacentral:lncRNA from 1 species
GGCCAGGCCUUUAAACCAUUUUGCUAAGAGUUGCAAAAGUGAAAUGAAGGAAAAUGUAAAUACAAAAUACAAACCAAGGGGCUGGGGUUGUAGCUCAGUGGUAGAGCGCUUGCCUGGCACGCACGAGGCACUGGAUUUGAUCCCCAGCACCACAUAAAAAUAAAUAAAAUAAAGGUAUUGUGUCCAUCUACAGCUAAAAACAUUAAAAACAAAAAAACCCUGACAAAAUACAAACCAAAUUUUGUUUUAGAAACAUGUCUUCUAGAACAUACUAAAUCAGUAAUUGUAUGUGACUUCCAUUAUCUUUACUGUAAUUAAAUUUGUGUAGUAUCUUAAUGAUCCAGUUCUAGCCACACUAUAGGAAUCUAAAACUUUGGUGGCAAGGGAUUAUUACACUGUGCUGUUCUGCAUAGUAACAUGAUAUAAUGCCAGUUCUGGCUCAAAAGUUAUUUGGUGGUCUAGAAAACAGUGCUUGGGAAUAUUUUAAAACCUCUAUUACAUAUUUCCCUUUGGGAAUAAUUCUAUUGUCACACAACUGGGAUGGUAUUUUUAUUUUUCCUGUAGUACUGGGGUUUGAAUCCAGGGGGGCUCUACCACCGAGCUACAUUCCUGGCUCUUUUUUUUUAAUUUUGAGACAGGGUCUCCCCAAGUUGCUGAGGCUGGUCUCUAAUUGGGAUCCCUUUGCCUCCCAAAUAGGUGGGAUUAUAGGCGUGUGCCUACCUGUUAUUCUUGUUUUUAGAGAAAUGUAUAGGUCAUGGAAUUGAGCUGUUAAUUAUAAUUCA